rnacentral:lncRNA from 1 species
GCCCUGUCUCACUGUGUGGGAGGGGCAGCUCAAACCUACAGAUGCACAGUGAUUACUGGUGACCUUAGAGGCCACCACAGAAAAAUGUACCAAUGGACGGAGCAGUGGACAGCAGACUACAGUGGCUGAAUUCAGCAGUGAAUCCGUCGGGACCUGGACUUUUCUUUGUUGGCCCGCCGUUCUGAUGAACACAGGAGAGCCUGUUAGGCCUGCUGGCUCGGACACCACGCGGAGACAGAGCGCUGCCAGACUGCAGUUGAAGAAACCGCUCUCUGGCUGGACGGAGGCGGAGCAGAAGCUCACGGUAGGCCAACAGAGGCGCCUUAGGAUGCCUAGAGCAGUCUUGGGACGGCCCCCAGCGCGAGGCACUCUGGGAUUUGUAGUUUACUCCCCAG